UUUUUUUUUUUUUUUGAGUUGGAGUCUCGCUAUGUUGCCCAGUAGUCGAUAUUUUUUAAAAUUGGUGAGAUUUACUACAAAACUGUCUUUCCAGUUUCUGUUCAAAAAUCAUACGAUACAGCACCAUCAAGUCUGCAUUCUUGCAUGGAACUGGAUGGAAUUGAGUUGUGUGGACUUCCUUUAGAUAACGUGUGAGCUUUCCUAUUUUGCUACAGCCCUACCCUGCCACUCCACUAAUUUCCAUAAGCUGUCUAGGCCCCUGAAGGGGCCUAGACAAUUAGUUUGCAAUUCCUACCCUACAAGGAUCCUGGGUUAUUAAGGGUAGGGAUGAUAAUAAAAAUACUCAACUGGUAUGAACUGGGAACCAACUAAUCAGGUCACCACUGGAUCAGAGCCUUGGAAGAGUCAGAUACCAACUCUUUAC
ensembl:lncRNA novel transcript